rnacentral:lncRNA from 1 species
AGCCUCCUUCUCCUGCAUUCAAGUCGACUACUCUUUCAAGAGGAGACCAGAAGUUUAAGAAGCCAUUCCUCAUCUCCAAUAUAAAAGCGUUUGAGGCUUCUUAACUUCAUUUAUUGUUCAUAUUGUUUUCAUCUGCUUUUUGAGAAGCUCAUUUUCUGUUUUCUUUCUACAACUUGUAUUUACUUGGUUCAAUCGGGGAUUGAAUCAAGGGGAUUAAGGUUGGUUGGUGAGCCGAGUUAAAACCAACGUGUGUAAGGGUUCGAUUGUGAUCCCGGAAAAAUAAUCGGGGGUGGUUCUAGUCGGUGAGCCUGAGAAAACCGACCGAGUUCGUUGUGAGCUCGUAAAACAACAAGUUUGGUUGUGAGCUUGGAAAACAACCGGCUGUAAUCCAAGGGAAUUAUAGUGAAUUCCCAAGUGAGACUUGGGGAGUGGACGUAGGAGCAAGGGUUAGCUCCGAACCACUAUAAAACUUGUGUUUGUAAUUGAUUGUCUCUUCUUCUUCUCAUUUCAUAUUACUCACAGCACAUAGUAAUUAAUUAAAUAACUUGCAAUAGUUUUUAAUUAAUCAUCCAUAACGUUUUAAAUUAUCUAAAUUAUUUUAAAACCCAAUUCA